UAAUACAGGGGGGGCGAGCGUUGUUCGGAAUUACUGGGCGUAAAGGGCGCGUAGGCGGCUUAUUUAGUCGGACGUGAAAUCCCCGAGCUUAACUCGGGAACUGCGUCCGAUACUGGUAGGCUUGAAUCCGGGAGAGGGAUGUGGAAUUCCAGGUGUAGCGGUGAAAUGCGUAGAUAUCUGGGGGAACACCGGUGGCGAAGGCGACAUCCUGGACCGGUAUUGACGCUGAGGCGCGAAAGCCAGGGUAGCAAACGGGAUUAGAUACCCCGGUAGUCCUGGCCCUAAACGAUGAAUGCUUGGUGUAGUGGGUAUCGAUCCCUACUGUGCCGACGCUAACGCAUUAGGCAUUCCGCCUGGGGAGUACGGUCGCAAGGCUG
rnacentral:rRNA from 1 species